rnacentral:rRNA from 1 species
GAUGAACGCUGGCGGCGUGCCUAAUACAUGCAAGUCGAGCGAACGGACGAGAAGCUUGCUUCUCUGAUGUUAGCGGCGGACGGGUGAGUAACACGUGGAUAACCUACCCAUAAGACUGGGAUAACUUCGGGAAACCGGAGCUAAUACCGGAUGAUAUUUUGAACCGCAUGGUUCAAAAGUGAAAGACGGUCUUGCUGUCACUUAUAGAUGGAUCCGCGCUGCAUUAGCUAGUUGGUAAGGUAACGGCUUACCAAGGCAACGAUGCAUAGCCGACCUGAGAGGGUGAUCGGCCACACUGGAACUGAGACACGGUCCAGACUCCUACGGGAGGCAGCAGUAGGGAAUCUUCCGCAAUGGGCGAAAGCCUGACGGAGCAACGCCGCGUGAGUGAUGAAGGUCUUCGGAUCGUAAAACUCUGUUAUUAGGGAAGAACAUAUGUGUAAGUAACUGUGCACAUCUUGACGGUACCUAAUCAGAAAGCCACGGCUAACUACGUGCCCACAGCCGCGGUAAUACGUAGGUGGCAAGCGGUAUCCGGGAAUUAUUGGGCGUAAAGCGCGCGUAGGCGGUUUUUUAGUCUGAUGUGAAAGCCCACGGCUCAACCGUGGAGGGUCAUUGGAAACUGGAAAACUUGAGUGCAGAAGAGGAAAGUGGAAUUCCAUGUGUAGCGGUGAAAUGCGCAGAGAUAUGGAGGAACACCAGUGGCGAAGGCGACUUUCUGGUCUGUAACUGACGCUGAUGUGCGAAAGCGUGGGGAUCAAACAGGAUUAGACACCCUGGUAGUCCACGCCGUAAACGAUGAGUGCUAAGUGUUAGGGGGUUUCCGCCCCUUAGUGCUGCAGCUAACGCAUUAAGCACUCCGCCUGGGGAGUGCGACCGCAAGGUUGAAACUCAAAGGAAUUGACGGGGACCCGCACAAGCGGUGGAGCAUGUGGUUUAAUUCGAAGCAACGCGAAGAACCUUACCAAAUCUUGACAUCCUUUGACAACUCUAGAGAUAGAGCCUUCCCCUUCGGGGGACAAAGUGACAGGUGGUGCAUGGUUGUCGUCAGCUCGUGUCGUGAGAUGUUGGGUUAAGUCCCGCAACGAGCGCAACCCUUAAGCUUAGUUGCCAUCAUUAAGUUGGGCACUCUAAGUUGACUGCCGGUGACAAACCGGAGGAAGGUGGGGAUGACGUCAAAUCAUCAUGCCCCUUAUGAUUUGGGCUACACACGUGCUACAAUGGACAAUACAAAGGGCAGCGAAACCGCGAGGUCAAGCAAAUCCCAUAAAGUUGUUCUCAGUUCGGAUUGUAGUCUGCAACUCGACUACAUGAAGCUGGAAUCGCUAGUAAUCGUAGAUCAGCAUGCUACGGUGAAUACGUUCCCGGGUCU